rnacentral:rRNA from 1 species
AUUGAACGCUGGCGGCAGGCUUAACACAUGCAAGUCGAGCGGGGUGAGGUGCUUCGGUACUGAUCCUAGCGGCGGACGGGUGAGUAAUGCUUAGGAAUCUGCCUAUUAGUGGGGGACAACAUUCCGAAAGGAAUGCUAAUACCGCAUACGUCCUACGGGAGAAAGCAGGGGAUCUUCGGACCUUGCGCUAAUAGAUGAGCCUAAGUCGGAUUAGCUAGUUGGUGGGGUAAAGGCCUACCAAGGCGACGAUCUGUAGCGGGUCUGAGAGGAUGAUCCGCCACACUGGGACUGAAACACGGCCCAGACUCCUACGGGAGGCAGCAGUGGGGAAUAUUGGACAAUGGGCGGAAGCCUGAUCCAGCCAUGCCGCGUGUGUGAAGAAGGCCUUUUGGUUGUAAAGCACUUUAAGCGGGGUGGAGGCUACCUAGAUUAAUACUCUGGGAUAGUGGACGUUACUCGCAGAAUAAGCACCGGCUAACUCUGUGCCAGCCGCCGCGGUAAGAC